UGUUGUUCCAAGGUCAACAAGGAUGUUGAUCUAGGAGCAUAUUGUAUUUGGUGAAAUCACACUCACUUUGAAAAUAUGUGUAUAAUUGGAACAGUUAAUUGCUGGAGCUGAGCUGUUGAUCUGAAUGAGAUAAUACAGAGUAUGUGCAGAGCAGGAGGGCACUCGUGGAAAAGGAUUGAUGGCCGCUGCUUUUGAACAUUGAUUUUGAAACUUCUGAAUUCAUUAAUUCACAACACAACAUGGCCUCACCCCCUUUGUUUCCGGGAGCCGGGGUUUAUCAGGGUUUGUGAACUUACAAACCUGGGAAGUAACCCUUUGUAUUCCCCAAGAGCCGUAUUUAAACAGAGACAAAAGGCUUCUGAUGACAAACAGAUGAAUGAAACUCUGGACAGAGAGUCAGCUGCCUAUUUUUAUCCAAGGAACAACAGAUCUGCUCUGGUGCUCUUGGUUCACAUGGGUUUCAUUGUUGGUGUGGUCUUCAUUAGAGAAUCACAGCCUCUCUUCACAGAGCACUCCCUGGCACAAGAGAUUUUGAUUAAUCUAAUUUCAAUUACAGUGCCAAUGAAUAAAGCAGCACUAAACAAUAGCCAGUUACUGUGAGUGGAUCAAUUAAAGAACACAAAACAACACUAACAGAAAGACGAACUUGGCAAUGUUGAAAGGGUCCACGGAAAGGUCCCUUCUGCAAUUACGGAGAAAUGAAAAAAAAAAAAAAGAUGGAAAAUCUCUUUAUUGUACACUGGCAACAGAGUUAAAACAAAUGGAUGAGGCCUCAGUUCCUCUCCCAGAGUGACUGCUAGCGAGAAUUAGACAAGAACAUUCCAAGCUAGUGAGAAAAGAAUAAAAAUCGCCUGGAAAGUAAGGAUAGAGAAUGACAGGGCUGAUUCUUAGCAGGAUUUGGACCUUGCACAACCUCCUCCUCCAGAGUUAGUACCAGGAAACUAAUGGCCAACAGGAAGGACAUGAAGACAAUCCACAUACAUUAAAGGCUGUCAGCACCGACCCCCUGCUCCUCCCUUGAGAACUGCUCAACUCCUCAUGAAGACAUGAUACAGCCGUAUGCAUCUAAGUUUCAUUCAGUGUAUUUUGUGAGCUUUGAGCUGUUUACAUAAGUCUGCUUCAAAGGCUAAAAAUAGGAAGAUGUAAUGCUUCAACUUCAAAGUAGACCAAAAUGCUAGUCUAGAUGGUGGGAAGACAAUAAGGUACAAGGUUUGGAUUUUGAAUGGAAAGAAUAAAAUUGCUGUCUGAUGGAUAAGGAAGAAUAAUUUUUAAGGA